UGGCUCAGUGGUUAAGAGCACUGGCUGCUCUUCCAGAAGACCUGGGUUCAAUUCCCAG
rfam:Neotoma lepida isolate 417 scaffold_13, whole genome shotgun sequence.